rnacentral:ncRNA from 2 species
AUAACGACUCUCGGCAACGGAUAU